UGCCAGCCGCCGCGGUAAUACGGAGGGUGCAAACGUUGCUCGGAAUCAUUGGGCGUAAAGCGCGUGUAGGCGGCAUGUUAAGUCAAGUGUGAAAGCCCCCGGCUUAACCGGGGAAGUGCGCUUGAUACUGGCAAGCUUGAGUAUGGGAGAGGGUAGCGGAAUUCCCGGUGUAGAGGUGAAAUUCAUAGAUAUCGGGAGGAACACCAGUGGCGAAGGCGGCUACCUGGACCAAUACUGACGCUGAGACGCGAAAGCGUGGGUAGCAAACAGGAUUAGAUA
rnacentral:rRNA from 1 species